rnacentral:rRNA from 1 species
AUUGAACGCUGGCGGCAGGCUUAACACAUGCAAGUCGAGAGAGCGGCGGACGGGUGAGUAAUGUCUGGGAAACUGCCUGAUGGAGUGGGAUAUCUACUGUAAACGGUAGCUAAUACCGCAUACCAUCAGAUGUGCCCAGAUGGGAUUAGCUAGUAGGGGGGGUAAUGGCUCACCUAGGCGACGAUCCCUAGCUGGUCUGAGAGGAUGACCAGCCACACUGGAACUGAGACACGGGCCAGUCUCCUACGGUAGGCAGCAGUGGGGAAUAUUGCACAAUGGGCGCAAGCCUGAUGCAGCCAUGCCGCGUGUAUGAAGAAGGCCUUCGGGUUGGAAAGCACUUUCAGCGAGGAGGCGUUACUAGAAGAAGAAGCACCGGCUAACUCCGUGCCAGCAGCCGCGGUAAUUC